CCCCCGCAAGAAGUUUCCUUUGACAGUGUGACACUUAAAAAAUUGUAUUUUUGUGUAAUAUCAGUGAAAACGAGUGUAAAUUAAUGUUAAUCGUGUUUUAAUACUGUAGUUUAUUAGUUUUACUUGAAGUAAUAACACGAAGAACAGAAAUAAACGAAAAUAAUGAACUUUCCGAAUUAUGCUGUUCGUGCGUAGAACACUUUGCUGUAGCUGUUUGGUCGUGUCGACUGACGAAGAAAAGCAGCAUCUUGCAGUCGCAUUUAAAAGAAGAGUCUUCCGAGACGUCCUCAGCUUCUCGGAAUCGAUUCAACGUCGCGAGAUUAACAUAACAAACGAGAACGCGUAGGAAUAUCAGCAAAGCAUCCGACAAGACGAUUAAGUGAGCAUGCAAACGGAUAGAAGAGGAUUGAAGAAGAACCAAAAAAGACAGAGCAAGAUAUCGUUCAGAGAGCACCUGAAGAGGCUCUUCAUCUUCAUAGAAGGAUGUUCUGGGUCGGUGCUACGCGAUCGUGCAAGAUCCGUAAGAAUGUCUGCGUGUCGGUGAGUUGCGUCCAAUGAAAAAUUUCUAGCGUAAUAAAACCGGACACGGACUGACAUCGAGCGAAUAAAACUUUAACGAAGCUAUGCAAAUAAACGCCUGAGAGAGGAUAAAAGCUGAUACGAGUGUCCAGCGGAAUCAGGUCAUCGGAGGUCCAGACUUUUGUUGAAGAAGGGAUCUUGACCAUAAUCCUCAUCUGUUAGUAGGAUAAGAAAAGGUCUGAAGAUUAAUCAUUCUUAUCACAGGAGAUUCGGAAUUCUGCUGAAAAAAGCUUGAACGUAAUCCUCAUUGGUUUUAAGGACAAGAUAGGGUCUGAAGAUUAAUCAUCCUCAUCACAGGAGAUUAAGAAUUGUGCCAAAAAAAGGAAGGUUGAACAUAAUUGUCAUUGCUUGGAGGUAUGAGAAAAAGUCUGAAGAUUAAUCAUUCUUAUCACAGGAGUUUCAGAAUUCUGCUAAAUUAAGAAAGCUUGAACAUAAUCCUCAAUGGUUGGAUGAAUGAAAAAAAGUCUGAAGAUUAAUCAUUCUUAUCACAAGUAAAAAUGAUACUAAGAUUCAGAACUCCAUUGAAAACAGAAGCUUGGAAGUAAUCUUCAUCAAUUCCAGUGCUAAGAAGGGGUCCAAAGAUUAAUCAUUCUUGUCACACAUAAAAAUAUUAUUACAUAUACUACAAAUUCACAUUGUAUUCUGAGAUUCAGAAUUCUGCUAAGAAAAAGGAAGCUUAAACAAAAUCCUCAUGGGUUGCAGAACUGAGAAGAAGCCUGAAAAUUAAUCAUUCUUAUCACAUGUAAAACUUACACCAUACAAUACAAAUUCACACUGUAUUCCAUGAGUGAAACAAAAUAUAACUAAUAUGCUUAUAUAAAGCUCUAAACUAAUAUCUGGAU